UGAAUACGAGAUGCUACGGCGUCGAAGCAGUCUAUGUCAUACUUCCAAGAAAAGCUCGCACUGUCAUAAACAAAUAAUGCCUGUACCAUAACCGACACAGGUGGGUAGGUAGAGUAUACUAAGGGGCGCGAGAUAACUCUCUCUAAGGAACUCGGCAAAAUGACUCCGUAACUUCGGGAGAAGGAGUGCCUUAUUUAUAAGGUUGCAAUAACAAGAUCCAAGCAACUGUUUAUCAAAAACACAGGUCUCCGCUAAGUCGUAAGACGAUGUAUGGGGGCUGACGCCUGCCCAGUGCCAGAAGGUUAAAGAAGUUGGUUAGCAUUCGCGAAGCUGAUAACUGAAGCCCUGGUGAACGGCGGCCGUAACGAUAACGGUCCUAAGGUAGCGAAAUUCCUUGUCGGGUAAGUUCCGACCCGCACGAAAGGCGUAAUGAUUUGGAUACUGUCUCGGAGAGGGGCUCGGUGAAAUAGACUUGUCUGUGAAGAUGCGGACUACCUGCACCAGGACAGAAAGACCCUAUGAAGCUUUACUGUAACUUGAGAUUGAAAUUGGACUUUACUUGCGCAGUAUAGGUGGGAGGCGUUGAUAAUAUUCUUGCGGGAUUAUUUGAGCCAUCAGUGAGAUACCACUCUUGUAAUGUUAGAUUUCUAACUUUGUAUCAUUAUCUGGUCAAAGGACAGUUUCAGGCGGGCAGUUUGACUGGGGCGGUCGCCUCCUAAACGGUAACGGAGGCGCACAAAGGUUUCCUCUGAACGGGUAGAAAUCGUAUCUAGAGUGUAAAGGCAUAAGGAAGCUUGACUGUGAGACCUACAAGUCGAGCAGGGACGAAAGUCGGUCUUAGUGAUCUGACGGUGCUGAGUGGAAAGGCCGUCACUCAACGGAUAAAAGUUACUCUAGGAUAACAGGCUGAUCUCCCCCAAGAGUUCACAUCGACGGGGAGGUUUGGCACCUCGAUGUCGGCUCAUCGCAUCCUGGGGCGGUAGUACGUCCCAAGGGUUGGGCUGUUCGCCCAUGAAAGCGGUACGCGAGCUGGGUUCAGAACGUCGUGAGACAGUUCGGUCCAUAUCCGGUGUAGGCGUUAGAAUAUUGAGAGGAGCCUUCUUUAGUACGAGAGGACCGAGAAGGACAUACCUCUGGUGUACCAGUUAUCGUGCCAACGGUAAACGCUGGGUAGCUAUGUAUGGAGUGGAUAACCGCUGAAAGCAUCUAAGUGGGAAGCCCACCUCAAGAUAAGUAUUCUC
rnacentral:rRNA from 1 species